UGGGGAAUUUUGGACAAUGGGCGCAAGCCUGAUCCAGCCAUGCCGCGUGCGGGAAGAAGGCCUUCGGGUUGUAAACCGCUUUUGUCAGGGAAGAAAUCUUCUGAGUUAAUACCUCGGGAGGAUGACGGUACCUGAAGAAUAAGCACCGGCUAACUACGUGCCAGCAGCCGCGGUAAAUACGUAGGGUGCAAGCGUUAAUCGGAAUUACUGGGCGUAAAGCGUGCGCAGGCGGUUUUGUAAGACAGAGGUGAAAUCCCCGGGCUCAACCUGGGAACUGCCUUUGUGACUGCAAGGCUUGAGUGCGGCAGAGGGGAUGGAAUUCCGCGUGUAGCAGUGAAAUGCGUAGAUAUGCGGAGGAACACCGAUGGCGAAGGGCAAAUCCCCCUGGGCCUGCACUGACGCUCAUGCACGAAAGCGUGGGGAGCAAAACAGGAUUAGAUACCCUGGUAGUCCACGCCCUAAACGAUGUCAACUGGUUGUUGGGAAGGUUCCUUCUCAGUAACGUAGCUAACGCGUGAAGUUGACCGCCUGGGGAGUACGGCCGCAAGGUUG
rnacentral:rRNA from 1 species